rnacentral:lncRNA from 10 species
GCAGGGCGUGGUGGCGGGCACCUGUAAUCCCAGCUACUCGGGAGGCUGAGGCAGGAGAACCGCUUGAACCCAGGAGGCAGAGAUUGCAGUGAGCUGAGAUCCCGCCCUUGCACUCCAGCCUGGGCAACAACAGUGAAACUCCGUCUCAAAAAAAAAAAAAAAAAAAAGCGUGCAAAGAUGCAUAUGAUGAACUGCAUUUUCCUCGGAGCAGUUGGUAUUCCCCCCUCCUCUCACCCUCUUUGAACAGACGGGCAUUCGGGGAAUGGGGGGAGGGGACACAGCAUGGCGGGGGUUCCUUGCUCCCUUAGCCAGGGCGGUUGACUCGCACCCUGCUGCAGGACGGAGAAGGCAGCCGCUUGGAAACCCCGGGCUUCAGUCCUCAGCCGGGUCUCUGGAUGUAGACCCCCGGAGUCUGUCUUCUGAGACCGACAAGGCUUGUCAAUGGGCAACACAGGCUCCGGGACUUCCGGAAACAGUUUCUCAAGAAACAUUUCUGAAACUGCUUGGUUAAGGAUGACUCCCGCAAGGGCGGCUGUCACCUGCCUGCUGGGCCCGCACCGGGAGACUUGUCUACACAUAAACUGUGCAGGUUAAAGACAGGCCAGGCCAAAGAAAUAAGCUUGCAGAGGAGAGAGGGUUUUCACCUAUUUUCUUCCCUACCCCAAUCCCUGAAAGUUUUCUCAGAACCUGGAGGGCCCAGCAUGAGCAACUUCCUGGGCUGGGGCUUGGCCAGGGAGGCAGGUGCCUGCCAGGGCAGGCAGGGACCACUCCCUGUCAUCGUAACAAAAGAUAACACAGAAGCAGAUGGGAGAAAAGUCUGGGGAGAAACAACAUGAGCAGAAAACCACAGAAAUGUAAGUUUACAACACCCCUAUGUUAUCAGCCAGGGAGCCAUGGAGGUGCUGCAGGGCAGUAGCCCGCCAGCAAGACGCCAGAUUUCUCCUUCCAGGUGCUGAGGGAGGGGCUGGUGGUUCAGCCGAGGGGAUGAGAAAACCAGCAGCAGCUGCAGCAGUUGGUAAAACGGGCACACCGGGCGCGGUGGCUCACGCCUGUCAUCCCAACGCUUUGGGAGGCCGAGGCAGGUGGAUCACAAGGUCAGGAGAUCGAGACUAUCCUGGCCAACGUGGUGAAACCUCGUCUCUACAAAAAAUACAAAAAUUAGCUGGGCGUGGUGACAUGUGCCUGUAAUCCCAGCUACUCAGGAGGCUGAGGCAGGAGAAUCGCUUGAACCAGGGAGUCGGAGGUUGCAGUGAGCCGGGCACAGUGGCUCACAUCUUAUCCCAGCACUUUGGGAGGCCGAGGCGGGUGGAUCACCUGAGGUCAGUAAUUCGAGACCAGCCUGACCAACAUGGUAAAACCCCCAUCUCUACUAAAAAUACAAAAUUAGCUGGGCGUGGUGGCACGAGCCUGUAAUCCCAGCUACUCGGGAGGCUGAGGCAGGAGAAUCCCUUGAACCUGGGAGGUGGAGGUUGCAGUGAGCCAAGAUCACGCCAUUGCACUCCCACCUGGGCUACAAGAGCAAAACAAACAAACAAAAAAAACAAAAGAAAAGAAAGAGGCCGGGCGCGGUGGCUCAUGCCUGUAAUCCCAGCACUUUGGGAGGCCGAGGUGGGCGGAUCACGAGGUCAGGAGAUCGAGACCAUCCUGGCUCACACGGUGAAACCCCAUCUCUACUAAAAAUACAAAAAAUUAGCCGGGUGUGGUUGCAGGUGCCUGUAGUCCCAGCUACUAGGGAGGCUAAGGCAGGAGAAUGGCCUGAACCUGGGAGGCGGAGCUUGCAGUGAGCCGAGAUCACGCCACUGCACCCCAGCCUGGGUGACAGAGCGAGACUCCAUCUCAAG